AGUUCGGACUGUGGUCUGCAACUCGACCACACGAAGCUGGAAUCGCUAGUAAUCGCGAAUCAGAAUGCCGCGGUGAAUACGUUCCCGGGUCUUGUACACACCGCCCGUCACACCAUGGGAGUCAGUAACGCCCGAAGUCAGUGACCUAACCGUAAGGAAGGAGCAGCCGAAGGCAGGUCGGAUGACUGGGGUGAAGUCGUAACAAGGUAUC
rnacentral:rRNA from 1 species